AGGGUGUAAACGCUGCAGACUUGGUGUUGGGAACCCUUCGGGGGUGCUCAGUGCCGGAGAGAAGUUGUUAAGUCUGCUACUUGGGGAGUACGUCCGCAAGGAUGAAACUUAAAGGAAUUGGCGGGGGGAGGCACCGCAACGGGAGGAGCGUGCGGUUUAAUUGGAUUCAACGCCGGAAAACUCACCAGCAGCGACUGUUACAUGAAGGCCGAGAUGAAGACUCUGCUAGAUUUUCAGAGAGGAGGUGCAUGGCGUCAGUGACU
rnacentral:rRNA from 1 species